rnacentral:rRNA from 1 species
UAAAUACUACCUGGCGACCGAUAGUGAAUCAGUACCGUGAGGGAAAGGUGAAAAGCACCCCGGAAGGGGAGUGAAAUAGAACCUGAAACCGUGUGCUUACAAAAAGUCAGAGCCCGAUCUAUGGGUGAUGGCGUGCCUUUUGUAGAAUGAACCGGCGAGUUACGUUUAACAUGCAAGGUUAAGUCGAGAAGACGGAGCCGCAGCGAAAGCGAGUCUGAAUAGGGCGA